CCCUUAGAUGUCCUGGGCCGCACGCGCGCUACACUGAUGCAUUCAACGAGUAUUUCCUUGGCCGAGAGGCCUGGGCAAUCUUUUAAACCUGCAUCGUGAUAGGGAUAGAUUAUUGCAAUUAUUAAUCUUGAACGAGGAAUUCCUAGUAAACGCAAAUCAUCAAUUUGCAUUGAUUACGUCCCUGCCCUUUGUACACACCGCCCGUCGCACCUACCGAUUGAAUGGUCCGGUGAAAUCUCGAGAUUGUGGCCAGUUCACUUUAUUGGGAGUUGGCUGCGAGAACUUGCUUAAACCUUAUCAUUUAGAGGAAGGUGAAGUCGUAACA
rnacentral:rRNA from 1 species